rnacentral:rRNA from 1 species
UACGUAGGUGGCAAGCGUUGUCCGGAUUUACUGGGCGUAAAGAGCGCGCAGGCGGUCGUUCAAGUCGCGUGUGAAAGCCCCCGGCUCAACUGGGGAGGGUCACGCGAUACUGAUCGACUCGAAGGCAGGAGAGGGAAGUGGAAUUUCCGGUGGAGCGGUGAAAUGCGUAGAGAUCGGAAGGAACACCAACGGCGAAAGCACUCUGCUGGGCCGACACUGACACUGAGAGACGAAAGCUAGGGGAGCGAAUGGG